GGGAGCAGAGUCGGUGGUUCCACUGGCAAGUCGUCCACAUUCAAGCAGCAAAUCAAGACCCUACCGCCGCCAUGUUUGACUGUAGCUAUGAUAUGGCAGCUGAAAGUUCUCUGGUAGCCCUGGAAAGCCUCAGUGCAGCAUUCAGUGGCACAUGUGACAUGUUAGUGUGUUUCAUGACAAUGGAUUUAGGCUGAUGCCUUGACCACUGACCAAGUUCAAAAACACUGUCAGAAGAGGGAGGAGGAGAAAAAAGAAAGGAACGAGAAAGGAUAAACUUCCUGUGGGAGGAAUGUAGCUGCUACCCAUCACAGCUGGAAUCUGUGGGAUCACAUACCAGUGGAAUGGGAAUAUUUUACAUCUACUGCUGACAGCCAGUCUGAACAAGAAAUGACACGACUCAUCUGAACAUGAUAUCGACUCAACUGAAGAUGCUGUUUAAAAGUGGAGACAUAUGCAUCAGAAGGCAGCUAAUUUAUCAGCCUCUUCAUUAAUUUGCCAGAGUUACAAACGGAGGAGCUAAGACUUUUCCUUCUUCUACAGGAUCAGGCUGGAUGAAAAAAAAUAAACUGAAAAAUAAUGAAUGAACUGAAAAAACAAACUGUCAAGGAUCCCAAGCCAAAGCCCAUAGAGUGACUGCACUGACAUGCGCUGGGUUACAUGUCAAAUGUCACCUUAUAGCAGAAAUGGAAAUGCUCUACCAGUUGCUGCACAUUCUCAAG